AAAAAAAAAGAAGUAAUGAUAGAAAAGAAAAGAAAAAAACCAAUUUUCUUGUCACUCUUUUUUCUCCUUUUAUUUUUCUCUUUACUUUGUUUAUUUUUCUUACUUCCUUCUCCUCCUCCUCAAUCACCUAAACUUUUAAAACAA
rnacentral:ribozyme from 1 species